CGUGAAAAGCCUCAUGUUAGUGGUAAUUGGUACAGGAAUCUCAUGAGUCUGUGCAUUACUGUCUAUGUGUGUCAGCUUCCACUGGUCUGCUUUGGAGCCUCAAGUGAACACAAGCUUGAGCUUGGGGGUUGAACUUGUGACCUACAGCACCAGCACUGUGAUGACCUUGUGCCUGAGGCAGAGUGCUAUGGGUUGGGGUGUGCUGGUGAUGGCAGAUGCAGAUGGGCUUGCUUUGAGCUUUCCACAAGGACAUCAUUGCCUGAUGUCCAUUGAUUGCCAUGGGGCUCCAUGAGCAUGAGCUCUCUGUGAGCUGCUCUACAAACCAGGUACUGCUCAUACAGUUGUCAGGCAGCUGGCUACUCCUGGAAUGAGGUGAAAGCCAUGUUCUCCUAUGAGUAGAAACUCAGGCAGCUCAGGAACAGCUCCUGGUGAGGCUAGUGAAGGGGGAAGGCAAGGGCAUGUACUCUUUGCUCAUGGGAAGAAGGCCUAAAGCAUCUCCCUAGGCUUCAGCGUGGGAAACGCAAAAUAAUUUGUGAGUAGGUGGGUUUGCUUCCUUGCCUGAAGUUGUUGGUCAGUCUUUUCAUUAAGCAAUUUGUUUGACUGCAUCCAUCCUUUCUGUUAACGUCUCGCACAGCAGAUCCAGCACCUGCCUGCCCCAGAGAUGGGACUUGGAGGAGUCUCUGCCUGUGGAGGCUGAGCCCCAGCAGUGGGACUGCUGCUUCUCAUUGCCGUGUGGGACCUGCUGGCUGGGAUGAGGAAUGGCCAGUGCCUGGGUGUCCUAAUGUUGGGCAGAGCAGGACGUGGAGCUCGUUUGUAGGUCUGAAGGCAGCAUGGACAGCUUGGCAGAUCCUUUUGUUUGGUGAUUGUGGUGUGUCUGAUAUGCUGGAAUAUGGCUCACAGAGCUCACCUACUUCUGAGGAAGCAAGUAUAGGCAACAAUUUGAGAAAGCUGAAGGAACAGAAAAGUGGCAAAACAAGAAGCAGCUGCUAUUCUCGUGCAUCCUUUUCUGUGGUGUUAGUGGGUCCCUGCGACACACCUUGUGUGAUCUGUUACCCUCUGGAUUUCUCCUGUGGUUGCGUUUUGUCUCUUCCUCUCAGGACCCUUUUGACCAUCUGUGGCUUGCGGAGAAUAUGAAAGCUCCUUCCUGUGUCCAAGAUCAAUAGCUUUAAAAAGAGAGUACAAGAAGCCACUAAUCAUCUUUUCCACCCGGCAUUAAUUUCUGAAGUGCUUCAGCGAGUUCGCUUUGAAGUUCUGUUAUUUAUUUAUUUUUAACAAGUGUCCAGAACACAAGGGCCCACCCACAUGUCCUGCAACAGGCGAUGGCUCCUCCAGUGCUGUUUGGAUGUGGGUGGGCCACGGCACUUUUUGGAAAGCUCUCCCAAAUCCUGGAAAUAAGAUUUCAAAAGCCAAUUGAGAAGUUUCCCCAUGUGCCCUGGCUGCAGUGGAAAGUGGUGCUGCUUUCCCGUCUGAAUCUUGGAUUAAGAAAAGAAGGAAAAAGGAGGGAGGGGGGGAUGGGGUGGAACUCAAUAGCAACUCUACGGGCUUAAAUGUGGUUCAAUUCCUCCGCUCUGCUGCAGCUGAAUAGGAGGAGACUGACUAAGGGAAGCUGUGUCCUUACAGCCUCCUCUUUGCAUGAGUAAAUAAGACAUUCCAGCACUGCAGAGGCAGAACUAGUGGAAAUAUAUAUAUUUAAGUUACUAAGUCAUCCACACACCUACCUGGUCUCUCUUCCUGUUUCUGCUGCACCCCAUGGCAACACCGAGGGCUGCUAUUACCACAGCAUUGCACAAGCCAGGAUUACACAUACAGCAUGGGAAUGGUUCCUCUGGAACUCUGAAGCAACACAAACAUUGGUCCUUUGCAAAUAGCAAAAAAAAAAAAAAAAAAGCUGUACUGCAAAAUGGGUGAUGUGGUAUUGGCUCACUCAGGGGUGAACCUGCCAGCAUGCUGGAGUGGGUAAGUACAUGAGCCUCGACAUUGCUUCCAGUUGUAUUUGGCCAGGAUUGUCUAAUCCAUCCUUGGCACUCAGAGAUGUUCACUUGUACACACGCCACAGAUGACUGAAUUGUAAUUGGCUGUUGCUCAGUUUGUAGGUACAGAUAAAAGCAACAUGCAUAUGUUUUGACCUUCGUACAGGUACAUUUCUAAUAGUCAGGCUUUGAAAAUGGGUUACUCCGUGUGUAGAUAUCGAAUAUAUAUGCCAACCCUGUAAGUCUGUUACUGAGUAUUAGGUAAGGAAGGAAGGCAUCUGUUGCUGGGAGAUCCCUCUUUGAAAACAGAGCAUAGCUAUCCCUUAUUUAUACACUGGAUUUACUUAUUUUUUGUUCAUGCACAUCUCUGUCAAACCCACUUCUGGCUGCCACAGAAGUGCUGAGGCACUGUGAGAAACUCUGUUUUUCCUGUUUUGCAGCACUAGUUUGGGUGGAACCAAAGUAUAACGAGGAAGCUUGAGCUGGCAAAGUUUCUUGCCCAAAUGCAUCAACAUGAAUUUCUGGGCAUCUGUGCUCAAUGUGAAGCACCUGCUCAUGUAAGGUAUGUUCUGUAAAGAUUGGAUGGUGGCCCGAUUAGAAAAGAAGAAUUCCCACAUUAGAGAAAAAUUACCUGUUGAAGGCACAACAGUGAUUGAGGAAAUCUGAGGCUCGGCAGUACGGCAGAAUAACAGAGCUAGGAGGAAAGGCUGUACAGCAGGGAGAGAGAUGUCCACAAGAAAUUAAAAGGUUGUGUAGUGAUUGCAGUAAACUGCUAACGUGCAGCACAGAGGAAAGUGGUUCCCUUUGUGUUUCUGGAAAUGCAAAAUGCAUUUCAGGCUGUCUCUCGAGGGUGAAGCACUUAUAAAGCAGUUGAAUGAUGACAGUGGAUUUCAGUGAAGCUAAAACUGAAUAGGGACAGCUGUAGACAUUUCCAUAAAGGGAAUCUCCCAGGAAGUAGUCUGUUAGGGAAUCCAAGCUUUGUGUUAGUAAACACUAGAUGCAGUGAUGCUUAAUCUUACUGGGGAUGUGUUUUCCUCAAAUUGAGUAUAAAAAUUAUGCUCCCUUUAUUCCAUUCUCCUCUGUUUCUCUCUCCUCCUUCACAUGUACAGUUGUUUCUGUUGUAUUUUUGAAGGCAGCUUUCCAUCUACUGGUGUGGGAUGAAGUCUGUUCUCUGGGCACUUGAUGUCUCAGGGUUCCAUAGCUGAUGCUUGUGCCUCUGGUGUCUCCUUCCUCGUGGCUGGCCAAUGGGACGAUGACCAAUACCAUGAUUGGGUGCAUACACACAAACUGUGGUUUUGAAGUCCUUGUACAAGUUGGACAGAUGGCAAAAGACAGCUUUGAUUGAAUUAAAAUCAAUAUAGAAGCAUUUCCAGAAUUUUUCACAUUGAAAAAAACACAAAAUCUUAGUUCUCAUACGAGGUUUCCUUGUGCCGAACAUUCAGUGUGAGACAGUUCCUGACACGAUGGCCCAAUCUCUGCCCAGGAUUACGCAGCUGAUGUGAUGUGAAUUUGGCUGAUACUAAAAAAAAAACAAAAAACAAAACUUAAGGUGGAGUUCUGGCCCAAGGAAGACAGUGGUAGCAUUGCUAAGUCAAGGCUUGGCCAGUCACUGAGGUUCCUUAUGGAUUCAUUGCUCAGGAGAAGAUGAUUCAUAAAUCAGCUGUCAGUACAUUCAGCACCAUCAACUCCAAUUACUUUGCCCUCUCCUGCUUUCAACCCAAGCAUGUGAUUUUUCUGUCGUAAUUUAGAAUUGGGGAAAAUAUUUGGUUUUGGGGCCAUGACCUUGUCUUACCAACUAAGCUUCAUUCUGAUUCAGAUACAUACAGAUGAGUUAUAACCCUCUAAAGCCCACCAAGUCCCCCUUGUAAAGAACACAGCCAUUCAGUUAUUGAGAGGGAGAGCAGAAGAGGCAUGCUGGCCAAUCCAUUUACUCCCCACUUUGUUGUGUGCAGUGCAGCUAUUCCUUAAGGUAUCUCCUGCACAAGGGAAUUCAUUGUUAGUUGUAUGCUUACUGCAAAGGCAUUUUUGUGCCUGUUGCAGCAGCUCCUGGCGAAGAAUAUGGGGUACAAGUGCUUGUGCUGACAUCAGAAGUUGCUCAGCCUGUUGGGGAUUGUACUUUUCUUGCCAUCUUCUUUCAUCGUCCUGUUUCUUUGUGUUCUGUGGAUGAAGCUGGGGCCUUGGUGCAUGUAGUAAGGGCAGGGUUUCACCACACCCUCAGAAAGGAUGUACAGCUGUCUCACUGAAUAGUAGCCAUCGUACUAAGCUGCACAAAUGGCUUAAAGCUGUGUGGCAAGGGAGGAUUUCAGGCCCUUCAAAUCUCACCCCUACCCCCAGCGAAAUUAAUGAUAUUAUUGAAGAGUUUGGAUGAGAAAAUAACACUAGAGAAAUUUGCUGUGAAAAGCUAUGAAUGUGAAAAUGUAAGAGUUUUUCCCUAUGCUUGUUUUGUGUCUUCAUCUUGUGUCCAGCAAUGCUAUUUUGGAUGCAUGUAGGAAACAGCUCUUUUUUUUUUUUUUUUCUUUUCCCUGUAACAAUAUUUCCUUCUUGUUUGCAAACAGAAAGGAAAUAAAGGGAGGGCUACACCACUGUAAGGGGUAGAU
rnacentral:lncRNA from 1 species